GACAGAGGGGGCAAGCGUUGCUCGGAAUCACUGGGCGUAAAGGGCGCGUAGGCGGGAUGGCAAGUCGGUCGUGAAAUCCUUCGGCCCAACCGAAGAACGUCGGCCGAUACUGCCGUUCUUGAGGGAUGCAGAGGAGACUGGAAUUCCCGGUGUAGCGGUGAAAUGUGUAGAGAUCGGGAGGAACACCGGUGGCGAAGGCGGCGACCUGGGUCGAUACUGACGCUGAUGCGCGAAAGCGUGGGGAGCAAACAGG
rnacentral:rRNA from 1 species